rnacentral:rRNA from 1 species
AGCGAACGCUGGCGGCAGGCUUAACACAUGCAAGUCGAGCGCCCGUAGCAAUACGGGAGCGGCAGACGGGUGAGUAACACGUGGGAACGUGCCUUUUGGUUCGGAACAACUGAGGGAAACUUCAGCUAAUACCGGAUAAGCCCUUACGGGGAAAGAUUUAUCGCCAAAAGAUCGGCCCGCGUCUGAUUAGCUAGUUGGUGGGGUAAUGGCCCACCAAGGCUACGAUCAGUAGCUGGUCUGAGAGGAUGAUCAGCCACACUGGGACUGAGACACGGCCCAGACUCCUACGGGAGGCAGCAGUGGGGAAUCUUGGACAAUGGGCGCAAGCCUGAUCCAGCCAUGCCGCGUGAGUGAUGAAGGCCUUAGGGUUGUAAAGCUCUUUCAGCGGGGAAGAUAAUGACGGUACCCGCAGAAGAA